UACGGGGGGAGCAAGCGUUGUUCGGAUUUACUGGGCGUAAAGGGCGCGUAGGCGGCGCAACAAGUCACUUGUGAAAUCUCCGGGCUUAACUCGGAAAGGUCAAGUGAUACUGUUGUGCUAGAGUGCGGAAGGGGCAACUGGAAUUCUCGGUGUAGCGGUGAAAUGCGUAGAUAUCGAGAGGAACACCUGCGGCGAAGGCGGGUUGCUGGGCUGACACUGACGCUGAGGCGCGAAAGCUAGGGGAGCGAACGGG
rnacentral:rRNA from 1 species